UCUUCGUCGUUGCUGAACUCUUUUGAAUUGAGAUCCAUUCGAGUUUCGCUUUGUUCAUUCUUCCAUCUGAAUUGUGUGAGUGCCGAACUCCUUGGGAUUGACGUUGCUUGUGCGAAUUAGUGACUGCUUCUUCAAAUCGGGGUAGAUGAAAUCCCCUUUCCCUCUCUCUCGGUUCAAAACGGGGAAGUUUUGCCGGAGAAGUGGGAUUCGGCGACCGGUGUGGGCAGUUUUCAUAAGUCGAUGUCGGCCGGAACUCCGACCAUAUGCUUCGCUGAAUCAUGGACGUUGGAACUCCCCCUGCUGCCGUUGUCGCCGGCGUGAUCCCAUCUCCGUUGAAGCCCCUUCGCUAUUUGGGAUUCUCGAAGCAGAUCAAGUGUGCUCGUCUGUUGGAUCCAAUUUGAUGGCCAGAAGGAGAGAUAGAGAUGUAAAUUGGAGCCCAGAAACAGUUGCUUAGGCGUCUGGGUGAAUUCAAUUUGUUGAACUCGGCUAGUACUGCACCAAACCGAGACAAAUACACACAAUGGGCAACCGAGCUAAGUAACUAUUUUAGCGUCCCACUUAGUUGGGAUAAAGUUAAACAAAAAGCUGGUCGGUUGAAAAAAACUUUCGACGCAGAGUUCCUACUACGGAAUGCUACUGGCCUUGGUUGGGAUCCAAUUGAGAAGAAACCUAUCUGCACCAAAGAAUAUUGGCAACAAUUUAUCAUUAGCCAUCCCGAGGUUGAAAAGGCAAGGAGAAAGCCCUUGGUGGAUUAUGAUUUGUAUUAUUGCGCGUUCGCGAAUACACGUUCUAUUGGUCCACUUGAGUACGGGCAAGAAGAAACCCCUAUAAGUCCACCUCAUCCCCCAGAACAUAUUCAGGGCAACCCCAUUGA